ACCCGUUGAUCCUGCGGGAGGUCGCUGCUAUUAGGAUCCGAUUUAACUAAGCUAGUUCAGGGGCUUCUUAGGAAGCACCGGCAGACAGUUCCGUAACACGUCGAUAAUCUGCCCUUGGGUCUGGAAUAACUUUGGGAAACUGAAGAUAAUACCGGAUAGGAGAAAAAGGCUGGAAUGCAUUUUCUCUGAAAGAUAACGCCUAAGGAUGAGUCGGCGCCUGAUUAGGUUGUUGGUGGGGUAAUGGCCCACCAAGCCGAAGAUCAGUAGGGGCCUUGAGAGAGGUAGCCCCGAGGAGGACACUGAGAUAAGGGUCCUGACUCUACGGAGUAUAGCAAGUGCGAAAACUUUACACUACACGAAAGUGUGAUAAGGGGAUUCUGAGUGCUCAUGCAAAGCAUGAGCUUUUACUGAGUGUAAAAAGCUCGGAGAAUAAGUGGUGGGAAAGACUGGUGCCAGCAGCCGCGGUAACACCAGCGCCACGAGUGGGGACCAUUGUUAUUGGGCCUAAAGCGUCCGUAGCCGGUUUAAAAAAUCUUCUGUGAAAUUGUCAGGCUUAACCUGAUGGCGUGCAGGAGACACUUUUAGACUUGAGACCGGGAGGAGUCAGAGGUAUUUUGAGGGUAGCGGUAAAAUGCAAUAAUCCUCGAAGGACCACCUGUGGCGAAGGCGUCUGACCAGAACGGGUCUGACGGUGAGGGACGAAAGCUAGGGGAGCAAACCGGAUUAGAUACCCGAGUAGUCCUAGCUGUAAACGCUGUGUGCUAGGUGUUGCAUAUUCCACGAGAAUGUGCAGUGUCGUAGCGAAGGCGAUAAGCACACCGCCUGGGGAGUACGGUCGCAAGGCUGAAACUUAAAGGAAUAGGCGGGGGAGCACAACAAGGGGUGCGGCGUGCGGUUUAAUCCAACUCAACACGGAGAAUCUCACCAGUGGCGACGGCAGGAUGAAAGUCAGGCUGAAGACCUUACUCAACAAGCCGAGAGGUGGUGCAUGGCCGCCGUCAGCUCGUGCCGUGAGGUGUCCUGUUAAGUCAGGCAACGAGCGAGACCUGCACUUACAAUUGCCAUCAACUUCUUUAGAAGGAUUGGGCACAUUGUAAGGACCGCCCUGGAAACAGGGAGGAAGGUGCAGGCAACGGUAGGUCUGUAUGCCCCGAAUCCACUGGGCUACACGCGCGCAACAAUGGUAAGGACAAUGGGAUGCAACACUGAAAAGUGGAGCUAAACCUCUAAACCUUAUCCUAGUCCAGAUCGAGGACUGUAACUCGUCCUCGUGACGCCGGAAUCCCUAGUAACCAGACUUUAUCAUAGUCCGGUGAAUAUGUCCCUGCUCCUUGCACUCACCGCCCGUCAAACCAACCGAGCAGGUUUUACGUGAAACAUAGCCCUUUAGUUAUGUUGAACGUGAGGUCAGUGAGGUGGGUUAAGUCGUCACAAGGUA
rnacentral:rRNA from 1 species